rnacentral:lncRNA from 1 species
CAACAACUUUGUUGUCCUACAUCAAAACCUUUUUGCAUGUAACCACUCUUCUCUCAAGCUGAGCAUUUUGUUGCCAAGGUUAACUCUAACUGCCAAGUGACAUCCUUGACUGACAGCUGCAGGAAGAAGUUCACCAACCUGAACUUAAAGGUCACAGAAAAGUUCUCCAAAAUUUGUGUCAAAGCUGACCAAGUAGCUUCAGCUGAAAUUCUUUUUCUUCAGAGAUGAAGGAACACCUCAGUGCUCAUUUAAAAAAUCCAAGAGACAAACUUCUGGUGAGCCCAUCAGUGCAAUAGAAAUGGACUUGGAAUUUAGGAUGAAGAGGAUGAAGAUUGCUUGUGAACUGUAAGUAGGAAUAAAGAUAUAAGUACCUUUUAAGUUUUAGAAAAC